GCUUGUCUCAAAGAUUAAGCCAUGCAUGUCUCAGUAUAAGCUUGUGCAUAGUGAAACUGCGAACGGCUCAUUAUAACAGUUAUAAUUUGUUUGGUGUUCAAGUUUACAUGGGUAACUGUGGCAAUUCUAGAGCUAAUACAUGCGAAAAAUCUCGACUCACGGAGAGAUGCUUUUAUUAGAUCAAAACCAAACGGCUUCGGCCGUCUCAUUGGUGACUCUGAAUAACUUUGGGCUGAUCGUAUGGCCUUGUGCCGACGACGUUUCCUUCGAAGGUGUGCCCUAUCAACUGUCGACUGUGAUAUAGACGCUCACAGUGGUUUUGACGGGUAACGGGGAAUCAGGGUUCGAUUCCGGAGAGGGAGCCUUAAAAACGGCUACCACAUCCAAGGAAGGCAGCAGG
rnacentral:rRNA from 1 species